UUGUGAGAGCGGCGAGUCCGGGCCGAGCAGCAGUGCAGUCCAGGUCGAGAGGUCAUGGCUGCGGUAUGCUUUCUCCAGGGCCGGAGAGAGGUGCUGCGCUGCCAAAACCCCUCCGAGAUCCGGUCUGCCGGCCUCAGCCAUCUGCACAGAGCCCAAAGGAGGAAGCAACAAGGGGAGCCGGGGGAGGAGGAGGAAGAAGGGGGCCCGAACAAAUGUGUCCCACAACGCACUUUGGCAGGAAGCAAUCCAGCGUGGGCUCAGUUUCAGCACAGGAAACUUCCCGCGGUAAAGGUUAGAGAGCAGAGCCGGGAGGUUUAUUAAUCGACAGAGGCGGAUGGUGUGUGGUGACACAAAAAGAAAAAACGAAGGCAGAUCAGGUAAAACAAGAGGACGAAAUAAAAAAAGGGGAAGGAAAAGCAAACGGGAACGGAAACGAAGCCAGUACUGAGAUGAAGUUCCCAGAGCAGGACAGCUCUAUUCUUCAGGCCAUCUGUAUUUAUUCUGGGAGGUAAAUCAUCUACAAAGCAAAGAAAGAAAAGCUACUUCAGGCAGUGCGCUCCACUCACAGGACAUUUUCAGGUGUAUAUUCAGAGAAUUUAAUGCGAACAGAGACGGAAUUGUCGGUUUUCAUUCAGAAUUUCUAAACCAGCAUCCACUAGUCUGCUCUCCAUCAUCGUUUCUCCCAACUAGAGCUGCACAAAUUUAUUGAAGACAGCAUUUCGACUCCAAUGCUACGCCUUUUUCUGCUGCUUGACACCAAAAGAAAACUCACACCGUUCACAAUUUUCAGGAUUAAUCCACAGAAGAAAUCUGUCUGAACUAGGGAUGUAACGAUUACCGGUUAAAAUGAUAAACCGCGGUCUGACGGUUAGUACUACCGUUUCAAAUUUUAAUUACCGUUAAACCGUGUCUGAUUGCUACAAUCCGGAAAAUCUCAGGAAUAGGCCUACUGCUGUUGUGAGAAGUGCAGUGGCAGGCAGCCGAUCGGAUACAUGCGCCCCGCGCGCAUGCGCACUGCACAGUAAAUAACUCGUAAAUAUGGCGGAGAACACCGGCAGUGGAGAGAUUUUUUCACCGUCCAAACGUACUAAGUCCGAAGUCUGGGCGUACUUCGGAUUUUAUAAAGACGCGCAAGGGAGACUGGUGGAAGAAAGCAACCCAGUCUGCCGAAAAUGCCACAAGAAAAUAUCGGCAAAGAGUGGAAACACGUCCAACAUUCUGGCUCAUCUACGGGACCCGCAACUGUGCAGCAAGUUAAAGAGAGGGCGUGUAGUGGACAGAACCAGGACAAAUCCUCCAACAGCUUCUACUUCUUCGGUCACAGUGGCAUAAACAAUAACCCAGGCGUUUGAAAGGAAGGCUGCUUAUGUACCGACAUCGAAACAUGCCAAAGACCUCACAGCAGCUAUCUCAUAUUUUAUUGCAAAAGACAUGCCAUUUCAAACUGUUGAGAGGCCUGGAUUUUUGAAGCUGAUGAAGGUUGCUGUGCCUCACUAUAAAGUUCCUUCACGAAAUCAUUUUUACUUUGUUUUAUAUAGUAGUGUUAUUGUAUAUUAUAUUAUAUUUGUAAGACUAGAUCUUUCUGAGCACUGAAUGUGAAGAUAGUUACAAUUUGCACAAUAUAAAGAAUGUAAUUUUAUUUUAAUUUUAUUUAUUUGUUAAUCUUUAUGAGGCAGUGGCACCUUACUUUUUUUGUUGGACUUUGUUAUUCCUAAUGUUGCUUUCAAGCAAACGGACUACCUCCUGGCUCUUUUAAGGUCCCCACUUUAAUUUUUUAAGCUUUUUAAUAUGUUAUUUAAGGUUUAAGCUCAUAUUUUGAUUGGUUUUUCUAAAAUAAAAAUGUUGUUCAUUGA